rnacentral:rRNA from 1 species
UGCACGGGUACGGGGAAUCAGGGUUCGAUUCCGGAGAGGGAGCCUGAGAAACGGCUGCCACAUCCAAGGAAGGCAACAGGCGCGCAAAUUACCCAAUCUAGACAGUAGGAGGUGGUGAAGAGAAUUACUAAAUGGUGGUCCUAUGGAUCACUUGUUUGGAAUGAACGUAACUUAAGAAAUUCGAUGAUAAACAACUGGAGGGCAAGUCCUGGUGCCAGCAGCCGCGGUAAUUCCAGCUCCAGUAGUUUGCUUUAAAGUUGUUGCGUUUAAAACGCUCGUAGUUGGAUCACGCAGCAGUGUCCAGUAAUCUAUUGCAUCGUUGUAUCUGCGCUCGUUCAUACGACCUUUGUCAACGGUGCAUUAGAUAUCACGCUGGACGUUGCUAGUUGCACGUGAGAUAGAUUGUUGGCCUUGAAUGCGCCGAUAUUCUCGUCUUGCGGGGUGUGCCUUGAAUAAAACAGAGUGCUCAAAGCAGGUUAUUGCCUGAAUGUUAAAGCAUGGAACGAACAAUCGUGUAUAUGUGUGUGCUGUUGACAGGUUACGAGCCUAUGGUUUGUAGUCGUCAAUGGCGCACACGGCACCCACCAAAGUAUGGCUGUUGGUUCCAUAUCCGGUGAUGAUUAACAGGAGCGGUUGGGGGCAUCAGUAUUUGGCCGCGAGAGGUGAAAUUCUUAGACCGGUCAAGGACUAACAAAUGCAAAGGCACUUGUCUAGACCGUUUCCAUUAAUCAAGAACGAAAGUGGGAGGUUCGAAGACGAUCAGAUACCGUCGUAGUUCCCACCGUAAACUAUGCCGACCUGGGAUCAGUCUUGAGAUGUUACAAGCUCAAGGUUGGUCCCCCUGGGAAACCUGAAGUUUUUCGGUUACGGGGAGAGUAUGGUCGCAAGGCUGAAACUUAAAGGAAUUGACGGAAGGGCACCACCAGGGGUGGAGCCUGCGGCUUAAUUUGACUCAACACGGGGAAUCUUACCUGGUCCAGACAUCGAUAGGAUUAUCAGAGCAAUAGAUCUUAUAUGAUCCGAUGAGUGGUGGUGCAUGGCCGUUCUUAGUUCGUGGAGUGAUCUGUCAGCUUAAUUGCGGUAACGAACGAGACCACAAUCACCAUUUAAAAGAUAGAAGAAGGAUGGUGGUAGGUUGGCGUAAGCUGAUCGGCUGCUUUCUGUAGGUAGGAUGGGGCGCUGAGUGAGCCAAUGCGAUGGGGCAACUUGUUGUGUUGGUUUCUCGGUGACUCAUUUUUCCCUUUUAUUACGUAGCAGUUGGUUCUGCCGGCUGUUGCCUUAUGGUGAGACAACGAGGUAUAAACAAGCUCGAGGAGGAGUGGCUAUAACAGGUCAGUGAUGCCC